ACUAAGUGCUGAGCCUUUUAAAAGGCUGCAAGAAUGUUAUCACAUUCAUGAAACAUAAACUCUAACCAGAAACGACACGUCAUUACUGUUAAGUUCACUUUAGUUCUUUCCUAUCGAUUCUCUCGACUUGUUGCCUCUGAGGCAUGCUCCCCGCCUCAUCACAAUAAUCCUUCGGUUGAUGAAAGCAAGCAUGACAUGAAAUGAUCACUCACGUUCGUUGACGCCUGUUUUCGCAUGGUAUCGAUCUAUUUACAAAGUGGCAGAAGGGCAGUUUUCACACGCACUAUCUUUAUUGGCCAGCAAAAAAUUACUACUACUUACGUUUUUUUCCCACAUGGCAACUAAAUUUAAUAUUAUCGAUAUUACGCAAACGAUCGAAGCCGAGUGCGCUCCGAAUAUUCCCCGAGUGCCGGUCGCGCCCCCAAUGGUCGAGGGAGAAAGAGUACCAACGAGCAUGCGCCUGUAAGUCACGUGUUCAUGUUGAUGUUCCUGAGUCCACAGAACAUUGAAAACUGCCGUUAUAUUGAAAACUGCCGUUAUAUUGAAAACUGCCGUUACAUUGAAAACUGCCGUUAUAUUGAAAACUGCCGUUAUAUUGAAAACUGCCGUUAUAUUGAAAACUGCCGUUAUAUUGAAAACUGCAGGUAUAUUGAAAACUGUCGUUAUAUUGAAAACUGCCGUUAUAUUGAAAACGCGCUUCGUAAACGUUGAAGCAGAAGUGAUUAAUUAAAGAAGUCACAUGCUUAGAACGCAAAGGUAAACACGAAUAAAAUGAGCGGAUAU